rnacentral:rRNA from 1 species
ACGCUCGACACCUACGGGAGGUAGCAGUGGGGAAUAUUGCACAAUGGGGGAAACCCUGAUGCAGCAACGCCGCGUGAGUGAAGAAGUAUUUCGGUAUGUAAAGCCCUAUCAGCAGGGAAGAUAAUGACGGUACCUGACUAAGAAGCUCCGGCUAAAUACGUGCCAACAGCCGCGGUAAUCUGAGCGGGCUGGCAAGGC